CCUACGGGAGGCAGCAGUGAGGAAUAUUGGUCAAUGGGCGAGAGCCUGAACCAGCCAAGUCGCGUGAAGGAUGACGGCCCUACGGGUUGUAAACUUCUUUUGUCAGGGAGCAAUUGGGUCCACGCGUGGGCUUAGCGAGAGUACCUGAAGAUAAAGCAUCGGCUAACUCCGUGCCAGCAGCCGCGGUAAUACGGAGGAUGCGAGCGUUAUCCGGAUUUAUUGGGUUUAAGGGGUGCGUAGGCGGAAUAUCAAGUCAGCGGUAAAAAUUCGGGGCUAAACCCCGUCGUGCCGUUGAAACUGAUGGUCUUGAGUGUGCGAGAGGUAUGCGGAAUGCGUGGUGUAGCGGUGAAAUGCAUAGAUAUCACGCAGAACUCCGAUUGCGAAGGCAGCAUACCGGCGCCCAACUGACGCUGAAGCACGAAAGCGUGGGUAUCGAACAGGAUUAGAUACCCUUGUAGUC
rnacentral:rRNA from 1 species